GAUGAACGCUGGCGGCGUGCUUAACACAUGCAAGUCGAACGGAAAGGCCCUGCUUUUGCGGGGUUCUCGAGUGGCGAACGGGUGUGUAACACGUGAGUAUCCCGCCCUUGACUUUGGGAUAACUUCAGGAAACUGGGGCUAAUACCGGAGAGGAGCUCCUGCAGCAUGGUGGUGGUUGGAAAGCUUCGGCUGUUGUGGAUCGACUCGCGGCUUACCAGCUGGUUGGUGGGAUAGUUGCAUACCAAGGCUUCGACGGAUAGCCGGCCUGGGAGGGUGGCCGGGGUCAAGACGCCUGCGGGACGGAGCAGUCGGCAACGGGCGGCAGCGGUCGAGAGUAUUACACAAUGAGGCCGCGUGUGUGACGAAGGUGCCGCGAGCGGAAAGCCGGCCUACGGGUUAUGAACCGCUGUCGCCUGAGACGAAGCGGGAUUGACGGUAAUGAGUAAAGAAGCACCGGCUAACUACGUG
rnacentral:rRNA from 1 species